rnacentral:lncRNA from 1 species
CCAGUUCCCUUCUUUCCACAGCACACACUCCUGCCAGGCACCCGGCAGUCAUGCCAGGCACGCGUUCCUGUUUUCAGAGCAGCUUCUGAGGAGCUGCUGGGGGACACUGGCUCCUUUCAAUCCCAGGUGCUGGGGCAGUGGGACCGGCCAGAAUCUCUUUUGGAGCCUGGGCCUGAGAUGGAGUAGGUAACCCCGGCGGUAACGUCCUGAACCAAUCCUGCCUGCCGGCCGCAAAGGUGGAAAGCUGGAGGAGGGGCCGUCCUGGACUGUCUGAGGGUGCAGAUGAACGCCUGCCCUGGACCCCACUCUGGGAGAGACUCCCCAGUUCCUGGCAGGGAGCAGAGCUGCCCUGAGGGGAAGCAAGUCAGGAGUGCGAUCCGCAGAGAUUAGAAAUUGGAAGCACUCGGAGGGGCACCGCGGAGCUGCAGGAGACCCAUAAACUCAAGAUCCGAGGACACAGCCGGGGAAGCCAGGGACAAAUAGGGAAGGAAGCAGCAGCGCUUGGGAGAGAGUUGGAGCGCCUGGAGGGGCAAACUGCCCUUGCGGAUGAGGGGGCCAGGGCGGGACAGAGCAAAGGCAGGCAGCGCACUGUGUUCGAGGCCCUGAGCAGGAGCCCAGGGCACACAGUGGCUGAACCGGUGCCUCUGCCUCUACAGAUGCCCGCGCCGUCGCGGCGCAUCCUCCUGCCCAGCUCUCCAGACAACGCACGGAGCACCGAGGAGACUCAUUCGUGGCACAGCCAGGAUCUCGCGAGGAAGUGUGGGUGGAGGGUGAGGAGAGAACUCGUGCAGAGCAUGGGUGUGUGAACGAGUGCUGUGUGAGUGCAUGUGUGUGUAAAUGUGUGGGAGUGUGCCUGAGUCAGAUUGUGCGCCCACGCGUGCGUAUAUAUGGGUGUACACGCCCUGGUUUCCACCGCAUUCUCCAUAAUCUUAAAAAUACUGAAGACCAGUAUGGUGGCGCACAGCUGUAAUCCCGGCACUCAGGAGCUGAGGCAGCAGGAUCACAAGUUCAAACCUAGCCUGGACAAUCUAACAAACACUUGUCUCAAAAUAACAAUAAAAAUAUAAAAGUGCUGAG